rnacentral:rRNA from 1 species
UACGUAGGGGGCAAGCGUUAUCCGGAUUUACUGGGUGUAAAGGGAGCGUAGACGGCAGAGCAAGUCUGAAGUGAAAGCCCGCGGCCCAACUGCGGGACUGCUUUGGAAACUGCCCGGCUAGAGCGCUGGAGAGGUAAGCGGAAUUCCUAGUGUAGCGGUGAAAUGCGUAGAUAUUAGGAGGAACACCAGUGGCGAAGGCGGCUUACUGGACAGUAACUGACGUUGAGGCUCGAAAGCGUGGGGAGCAAACAGG